rnacentral:rRNA from 1 species
GACAGAGGGUGCAAACGUUGUUCGGAAUUACUGGGCGUAAAGCGCGUGUAGGCGGCUUUGCAAGUCGGAUGUGAAAGCCCUCGGCUCAACCGGGGAAGUGCACCCGAAACUGCAAGCUAGAGUCUCGGAGAGGAUCGUGGAAUUCUCGGUGUAGAGGUGAAAUUCGUAGAUAUCGAGAGGAACACCGGUGGCGAAGGCGGCGAUC